CAAGGACACUUGAGAACAGGUUCUUAAGAUUUUACCCUCGCUCUAUAGACUCUCUAAUAGAGCCAUAACACUUGAAAGCAGCCUCCUCGUGAGCGGAGGCAUCUGGGACCAGAUUCUUAGAAUUCUUCCAAACUUUCAUCCAUAUUCAAGUAAGGAGUAGUAAGGAUACACAGAAACUUAAUUUAACCGCGCAUUAAUUUUCAUAUCAAAUCAAUUAAUCGGGGCAGGUUCUUAUAAUAUCAACGUAACCACAAUACAUCUCUUUGUUUCUUGGCCACUUACUUCGGUAAAUUGAAAAGGGGGUAUUCUACUCAUAUGUGUCAAACAGCCAUCCUACGUUUAAAGGGCCCGGGAUAACUGUUUGACACUUGUGGGUAGAAUACUUCCCUUCUAUUUUCUUACACAGGUUUCCUUCAAGGGGAAUUAUAAUUACCAAGAAGGUGCGCUGUCAAAAACCCUGGAAGAUGCACAAACUGAUGCCAAAGAAGAUGGAGACAAGAAGAGCGAUGAUAACAAUGACGUGCCAGGCACGUCUUUAGAAAGGAAAAAAAGGAAAAGAAAGGACCGGAACAGAACAACAGCCAAAAGACUGAAGAAAAAGAAAGAGAAGGAAGGAAACCACAAAACUGACAACUGAUUUAAAAAUAUGUUCAUGUUAUUUAAAGCAUGGUAAAUUCGAUGUAUUUUACUUAGGAUAACAUAGAUAGAUCGUGUUGCAGUUUGUACAUACAAUAAUGCAUGUAUUUGCCUUAGGAUAAUAUUGACAGAAUAUCGUCUGAACGAAAAAGUUGCCUACAAUCUGCGACACAAUAGCCCACACAUUGCCGUUGAGAUAACAAUAUUUCUGAAUUAUUUUAGCCUCGAUUUCCUUAAAUUUUACCCACUCUCCCUUGAUAAAUUAGUUUUUUUUCCUUCUGUGCUUGUACAACAUUGAAUGCAGGAAAGGGUUGGAGUAUUGUAUUUCGAGGUGUGGUUGAUUUUAAAGUUCAAUUUUAAGUCUGGCCUAAAAAGUUGCUUACUGAAUUUAGUCGCAGAUUGUAGUGACUAGUGACUAAAAAAAUGGUUUAUUGUGGUAUUUUUUUUAGCAAACAAAAUACAGACUUUCAAGCGCAAGCUUUUUAAA
rnacentral:lncRNA from 1 species